rnacentral:piRNA from 1 species
ACCAGUUGUCGAUAAACUCCGUAAAGC